AAAACACAAUGGAUCCAUGUUCUUAGGAAAGUAGCCGAGAAACACCAAGUGUGCCAGCAAAAAUCAUGCUUCCACAGCUGGCACAACCACAACCUUUAGUUUCCUAUCCUUAGAGAGAUACAAGAAGAGAUCAGUCCUCUAUAGAAAAUUUACAGGAAUUUAUAUCACAGUUCACAUCUUCUUAAUUAACUCCUAUUGCAAUUUGCUAUGUCCACUACUCCUUGUACAACAACUAAUCUUAGCUUUAACAUAUGGUUGUGCGGUUAUCUUGCAUUGCUUAUAUUAUUCACAUGUGCAUGUGCAUGUUCAUGUUCAUGAUGUGAAACUCUUCACGUCCAAGCAUCAAACUGAAUUAACAUGUUCUUCCAAUGAUCUUGUAGACCCUUUAAAAAAUGGUUGAUUGUAGACAUACCACCAUUUCCUGCAACGACGGUGCACAGAGGGCAAGGUAAUGCCCCUCUAGCUUCAAGAAAUAUCUUAAAUGAACCGAAUUUAUAACACCUAAUUACAGUGCUAAGAGCAAUAUAGAACAAAUUUGACAUUCAAUACAUUUGCACCUACUAUUCAUACCUAGUCAAUAAUAUCUUAAUAAAUAUAGUAGAUUAGUUUGGUGGCAAGAAUAUGGCAAAGAUACAUUAAGAUAAGUAGAAUGGAAUAGCAGAUUCACUUGAAGGCAGCGUGAUUCCAGCAUUAACCAAUGUAAAUAACCACCUAUAAAUACUCUAUACUUGAGAGCUAAAAAGGUUUCAGGAAACCAUUAAAUAUUAUAAGAUGAGGAACACAUACCUAUAACAUUUCGAGUGCAAGAAAUUUUUGGAUCUACAUCUACAACUAAAACAUGAAGCAUAAUAGAGGCCUUUUUGCAGUGAACAGUGGAGAGAAACAAAGAGAAAAUGUAUGAGUGUAUUACUUACUCACUGAAACGAAAAACAAUUGCUAAUACACAGUACAUUAAUAGUGAAACUGAUUGUUUUAGACUGCUUUUGCUAUACUUCACCCAAAAACUUCAAAAGUAAUCCUCAUAAAACUGGUCCCAGAAACCUGCAGUUGAAAAGGACUUGAAACCCCAUCCUAGUUCACUGAGCAGAAUAAAAAGAUGGCGUGCCUGAGGUUGAAGGACAUAUUUUUUUUGAAGCCAUGAUAUGAGAAAAAUGGUUGAUGUAUAACUGAAAUUUGGUUAUAUGGGUUAAACAUUGGAUCCUAAGAUCUUGCAAAACCUAUGAACAAAUAAAAGGAACCAACCUGAACAAGAAACAAUUCUACGAGAAAGACAACCAGCUGAAUAUUUAAUUACCGAUGAUGUGUAUUGAGUUCCACCAUAAACUUCGGAGCAAAGGUAGCAACGUGAGAAAUUAUGAUAUAUUUGGCUCAUCUACCACCUGACUGAAUAGAGCAACGGAAAUCACAGCAAAUUAUAAGGAAUGUAAAAUCAAAGUACUAUGCAGGGUGAUAAUGCCAUUCAGCGCAAGACUGGAAGAGAACACCGCUGACUUCACCAUGUUGGAGCCUGUGCUGAAAGCAUAUAUCACUCACUCCUUUCCUGCAAACUCCACAAGGGAUUUGACUAAACUAUACACUGAUGAUCCCAAACUAAAUACGAUGAAAAAGAAGUUCUAACUAAUGUAACACAAGUAAAUUACCAUAUGUGUGUACCUACAUUUUCUAAAAAAGAAUUACACGUGUACCUUCUGUGAUCGACGUGGGCUGCUUCCCAACUAAAUUUGAAUCGCAAAGGGCAACAUUGUAGCCUGUAUGUUACCACUAAUUCAAAUUGUGGAGUGAAUCAUAAGCAUCAGGAGGAAGAGACACAUGUCGUGUACUGUAUGCGAACAUAUCAAAAUGGGCACAAACGUGUAGGAUGUAGUUCAUAUACAUAAGACUCAGAGUUGACAAAAUAUGAUAUUACAUCAAGAAAUGCUCAGACGUUCUUAGUUCUUGCCAACCUCUUGCUACAUGAUUAAAGCAUUUUCUCGAGCAUCUAGUUAGCAUCCUGUUGACCAAGUGCUUCGUGUUGUAAUCAUCCUAUAUAAAGACAAUCUUCAACAAUAGCAGAUCUGAUAUUGGUGACCGACAGAUGAACUCCACAAAGACAACACGAAGCAAGCAAAGCAACAGACUAAAAUCGAUUGGGGGAAAAACAACAUACCUUCCAAAAUCCAAUCGACAGCCUACCUUCGGAGCGGAGAUCCACGCCGCCGUCGGCGACCAAAAGCCUACGCGCCACAGGCGGGUGGGCGGGUACCACGGCGGCCACGGCCACCGCAUCGCAGCAGGCAUAUCGCCUCCGCCAUCCGCGCCUGGUGCCUCUUGAAC
rnacentral:lncRNA from 1 species